UCAUGUAGCGCCAGCCGCACCAGGUACAGAAGGGUGCUGGGUCCCUUCUGCAUGCUUGGUAUUCUCCCCGCGGGGCUCUGACCGCUGCCGCUCUCAGGCACCUGUCUUUCCUCUCCGUCCCAGAAUGGAGCCAAGACAAGGGAAUAAACGAAAUUCAAUAGUACACGGAGAUCGGGUGUCUGGGCAGCGUCUUGGAAAAACUAUCCACUACAGUACAGGUUAAGUGAAGUUCUUCUGCUGAUAUGUUCUGCUACUGCAUAAGAGACAGAAUCUAUGUUGCCUGGACUGGUCCUGAACUCCUGGGCUAAAGCGAUCCUUCUGCCUUGGCCUCCCAAGUGCAAGGAUUAUAGGUGUGAGCCACCCAACCUGGCCUUUGCCAGUAUUUUAAAAUCUAAACACCUAUGCAUGGUGCUUACUAAUAACACAGUGGUAUUCUAAACAUUUUUCACCUAUUAUUUAAUCUUUAUUAUUAUCACCAUGUUACAGAUAAGGACCCUGGCUAAAUAGCUUACCCAACAUUACUCCGUUAAUA
rnacentral:lncRNA from 1 species